rnacentral:rRNA from 1 species
CGGGGAGCUGGCGCGCGCCUAAUACAUGCAAGUCGAGCGAAUGGAUUAAGAGCUUGCUCUUAUGAAGUUAGCGGCGGACGGGUGAGUAACACGUGGGUAACCUGCCCAUAAGACUGGGAUAACUCCGGGAAACCGGGGCUAAUACCGGAUAACAUUUUGAACUGCAUGGUUCGAAAUUGAAAGGCGGCUUCGGCUGUCACUUAUGGAUGGACCCGCGUCGCAUUAGCUAGUUGGUGAGGUAACGGCUCACCAAGGCAACGAUGCGUAGCCGACCUGAGAGGGUGAUCGGCCACACUGGGACUGAGACACGGCCCAGACUCCUACGGGAGGCAGCAGUAGGGAAUCUUCCGCAAUGGACGAAAGUCUGACGGAGCAACGCCGCGUGAGUGAUGAAGGCUUUCGGGUCGUAAAACUCUGUUGUUAGGGAAGAACAAGUGCUAGUUGAAUAAGCUGGCACCUUGACGGUACCUAACCAGAAAGCCACGGCUAACUACGUGCCAGCAGCCGCGGUAAUACGUAGGUGGCAAGCGUUAUCCGGAAUUAUUGGGCGUAAAGCGCGCGCAGGUGGUUUCUUAAUCCUGAUGUGAAAG